rnacentral:rRNA from 1 species
AACGAACGCUGGCGGCAGGCCUAACACAUGCAAGUCGAGCGCGCCUUCGGGUGAGCGGCGGACGGGUUAGUAACGCGUGGGAACGUGCCCUUCUCUACGGAAUAGCCUCUGGAAACGGAGAGUAAUACCGUAUACGCCCUUUGGGGGAAAGAUUUAUCGGAGAAGGAUCGGCCCGCGUUAGAUUAGGUAGUUGGUGGGGUAACGGCCUACCAAGCCUACGAUCUAUAGCUGGUUUUAGAGGAUGAUCAGCCACACUGGGACUGAGACACGGCCCAGACUCCUACGGGAGGCAGCAGUGGGGAAUUUUCCGCAAUGGGCGAAAGCCUGACGGAGCAACGCCGCGUGAGGGAUGAAGGCCUCUGGGCUGUAAACCUCUUUUAUCAAGGAAGAAGAUCUGACGGUACUUAAGGAAUAAGCCACGGCUAAUUCCGUG